rnacentral:rRNA from 1 species
UACAGAGGUGGCAAGCGUUGUUCGGAAUUACUGGGCGUAAAGGGCGCGUAGGCGGCCUUCUAAGUCAGACGUGAAAUCCCCAGGCUUAACUUGGGAACUGCGUCUGAUACUGGGAGACUUGAAUGCGGGAGAGGGAUGUGGAAUUCCAGGUGUAGCGGUGAAAUGCGUAGAUAUCUGGAGGAACACCGGUGGCGAAGGCGGCAUCCUGGACCGACAUUGACGCUGAGGCGCGAAAGCCAGGGGAGCAAACGGG